rnacentral:sRNA from 1 species
GUGGACCACUUGACACUGCGGUGCUUCCGCGCCGUCCGCACCCCGCUGGUGACUGCUCGCGACGUUUUGCCAGCC